rnacentral:rRNA from 1 species
UACGUAGGGGGCAAGGGUUGUCCGGAUUUAUGGGGCGUAAAGAGCGUGUAGGCGGCCUGAAAGGUCAGCUGUGAAAACUCGAGGCUCAACCUCGAGACGUCGGUUGAAACCGUAUGGCUAGAGUCCGGAAGAGGAGAGUGGAAUUCCCGGUGUAGCGGUGAAAUGCGCAGAUAUCGGGAAGAACACCCGUGGCGAAGGCGGCUCUCUGGGACGGUACUGACGCUGAGACGCGAAAGCGUGGGGAGCGAACAGG